CUGAUUUUGAAACCUGGAUCUGCAUCACCUUACCUCUCCAAAUAUUUCCCCUCCUGUGCCUCGCUCGCCAUCCUCCCUUGGCUAUAAGUCACAGUCUCUCCCCACCUCUUCUUCUCCCCCUGCCCCUGACCCCCUUUUGCCUACCUCCGGAGGUUGUCCCAUCUCUGGGCCAACCUAUGCUUUGGAACCCUUGCCAGUCUCUGAGGGGCAUAUUGUCCCUACCUCUCCCAUUUCUCUUCACGGUACCUUUGGUCCCUCCAUAUCCCACCCUUGGACCCCAAAGCCCUUGAGAACGCCACUUCCACUUUUCCCUCUCUCCUCUUUGAUCUAUUUUUUUAGCGUUCCUAGUCUUGGAUCCAUCACGGAUACUUAGUUCGUGGAUACCCCUUUUUUCCUUCUGUUGCUAAUGAAGCUGUUAAUUGUACAACUGCCAAGCCCCCUCCCCCUGAACCCACGGAGGCCCCUCCUGUGACUGAGGAUAUUCCUCACGUCUGCUUUCAAAGGGCCAAGUACUUUUUUAAUUUUGGUCCUGAAACCUUACCUGCAGAGUCUACCUCUCACCCCUUGUCUAAUGUCUUGCAUCCAACCACCAAAUUCAGUACUUCCAACCCUUCCUCUCUUCUCCCUUUGAAGAGAAAGAGAGCCCUAUCGAAGUAGGUGCGAAGGGUUUUAUUUCCUCGCUCUCUAAGGCUUUGCUAAGUCCAAAAACCCUACUACUCUGUUGAAGUAAGUUGAAGCUUUUCUUGGAGAGAGGGAAGAUCAAUCGAAGAUUACGCCUCAUAGCGCUACCAGUUCCCAUCUUAUCAUAGUUGAGGAUGAGGGGAUCCACGGAGGGUGGGAAGAGCAAACAAAACUAGACCAGGUAGAUGGCACAAGAUUUGCACCCCUAAAUCUGCUGAAGGAUUGGGUCUUAGGAACUCUGAAGCUCAGAACUAAGCUCUCCUCUUGAAACUUGGAUGGAGAGUUCUUUUUUAGGUUUAUUCUUUGUGGGUCAAGAUGCUUACAUCUAAAUACUUCCCUAAUAAAUCCAUUUCACCCUUCAACAAUGAAGAAAAAUGGACCUGUAUCGUGGAACAGAAUUGUAAGUAUUUUCCCUACUCUCUUUAUGAUGCUGAGGCGUAAAAUAGGUAAUGGUUGCAGUACUGAUUCCUGGAAUGACCCAUGGAUCCCUAAUACCCAUUGUUCCCUUGCUACUUUACAAAUCCAUCCCCCCCUUCCCCUUUCUUUCUGUAACGUUAACGAUGUGCUUAAUGGGAACUCUUGGAAUACCAGUCUUUUUUAAUCUUUUCUCCCAUUAUUUCUAGUAACUGAAAUUUAAAAAAUUCACUUAAGCUCUUAAUCUGAUAAUUAGUAGUGCGACCUUUCAAAAACAGGAGUCCUACAACUAAAUUGGCUACUAAAAUUUUGAAUUCUAGUAUGGCUACUAACCGAAUUGGAUUCUCCAAUAGGUGUACAUGUUUAUCUAUUUUAUUCACAUAGGUGGCGAUACUUUUGGAAACUCCAUAUACAUCCAAAAUUUAAGAUCUUCUUGACGAUACUUUUGAAAACUCCAUAUACGUCUAAAAUUUGAGUUCUUUUGGUGACUUUCCACAGAGGCAUUCCCACGAAGGAUUUAUUGAGAAAAUGGAUACAUGUCGAUCCCACUUCUUGUUUCUAUCACAACCAACCUUAGUCUUUGUGUCACAUCCUCCUCUCCUGCGAAUUCACCAAGGGUACUUGGGCACCUAGCCCUUUGGGUCUAUAUGUAUAGCUUCCUUGACUACUUCAUCUUUCCAAAAUUUAAUUAUGUAUUUUUUUAAUUCUAAAUAUGACCCUGGAAAUACUCUAAAUAAUUUUUUUCUCCACUUUCAUUAUUAUUUGUUAUUUUAUAAGGUCUCAUCGGAAUGAAGGGUACAAAGUAGAUUGGGCCCCAUCCAUUUGGUUUACAGGGAACAUCCUAAGACAUUCCUUCACUACUUGGAGAUGUCUUGAGGAUGCAUUGCCAAGUAAAGAUAACCUUAUGAAGAGGAAUAUUGGGGUCAGUAGCAACUGUGUUUUGUGUUGGCAGGUCUUGAGAGUAGGUACCAUCUAUUUUUCCAAUGUCCUUUUACUUCUUCUAUUUUGAGGAAGAUUAUGGCAUUAUGUUCUCAAAGUGGGACUCAAUCUCUAGCCAUUUCUAGCAUUGUAUUGUGGAUAAAAUAUGAGUUUCAUGAUGAAGAUGAUUUGAAGGUUAUUGGAA